CAGAGUAUAGCUAAACUACAGAAUAGCAUCUCCCUUACACUGAGAAGUCAUUCGUGCAACCCGAAUUACCCUGA
rnacentral:tRNA from 1 species